UGGUGUUUUCUUUCCUAACAUUCAGGAGCCUGUAGGAGCACAGGAAGAAGGUAUGUCUCCUGGAAACUGUUUCUUGCUGAGGAAAAUGUUUAGAUGAUGGUGACGUAGGUGGGGCAUUCUUGUUGUCUUCAGUCUGGAGAGCUACUCCAAUUCCAGAGUCUUGGGAGGACUGGUGCUUGUGGGUGGGGGGGAAAGACCGAUGUCCCAGGUG